rnacentral:rRNA from 1 species
CCUACGGGGGGCUGCAGUGGGGAAUUUUGGACAAUGGGGGCAACCCUGAUCCAGCCAUGCCGCGUGUGUGAAGAAGGCCUUCGGGUUGUAAAGCACACGACAUGCGUUAGCGGUACCGUAAGAAGAAGCACCGGCUAACUACGUGCCAGCAGCCGCGGUAAUACGUAGGGUGCGAGCGUUAAUCGGAAUUACUGGGCGUAAAGUGUGCGCAGGCGGCCGCGCAAGUCGAGUGUGAAAUCCCCGAGCUUAACUUGGGAAUUGCGCUCGAAACUACGUGGCUGGAGUGUGGCAGAGGAAGGUGGAAUUCCACGUGUAGCGGUGAAAUGCGUAGAUAUGUGGAGGAACACCGAUGGCGAAGGCAGCCUUCUGGGCCAAAUGACGCUCAUGCACGAAAGCGUGGGGAGCAAACAGGAUUAGAUACCCUUGUAGUC